UAUGCACUAUUCUUUUCAGUACGAAAGGACCAAAAGAUGGGACCACAUUCACAGCAAGUCCCCCCAUCCCCGAAACAAUAUCAAACCCCCAAAGUACCCCAUUCCCCCAAAAACAGGGC
rnacentral:rRNA from 1 species